rnacentral:ribozyme from 13 species
AAAUAAUGAGGAGAGUGAGAAAAAAAAGCAAUAAUAAUAGUAUUAUCAAAAAACUCUUCUGCUAUCAGUCUGUCUCUCUCUCUCUCUCUCUUUAUCUCUGUCUCUCUAUAUCUCUAUCUCUCUU